GGCGUAAAGCGCACGUAGGCGGCACUGCAAGUCAGGGGUGAAAGCCCUGGGCUCAACCUGGGAAUGGCACGUGAUACUGGCAAGCUAGAGUGUGGCAGAGGGUAGUGGAAUUCCUGGUGUAGCAGUGAAAUGCGUAGAGAUCAGGAGGAACAUCCGUGGCGAAGGCGACUGCCGGGGCCAACACUGACACUGAGGCACGAAAGCGUGGGGAGCAAACAGG
rnacentral:rRNA from 1 species